AUAAAUAAACGUGACGCUUCUCAGGUAUGCCAUAGCUUGACCUGCUCGUCAAUCAAAAUAAGAUAAUUCAGUUAUUUAUCUGCGAAAAAAAAAAAAAAGGAAGGGCGAUGCAAAAUUGUGCUUGACAAUGACCUUCAGCCUUUACCCAGGCAUUAGUUGUUUUUUCUUCUUUUGUUGGCCGUAAAUAUGAGAUUUAUCUUUCGUUAAAAGAUGAAAGGGAUAUUCGGAAGACCUAUAAGAAGUCGCUCGUUCAUGGCGAUCGUCAGAGAAAGGAAUGUCCUUUUGAAAAAACAUUUUCGGUAGUACUGUUUUCUGUCUCGACAAUCUGAGCGGAAUUUUAUAUUAUAUGCUAGUAACAGUCGAAGUCGAAACGGAAAUUGAAUGACACAUGUCAAACGGAAAUGACUUCUGGUGGCGAUCACGUCCGAAUCGGCUGUAAUUACGAAUCAGCACGUCCCAUUCGAGUAUAUUGGGUUUUAUUUCAUUGACCAAAUCAUCCAUUCUCAGAGUUACAUCGUAGCGCAUCAUUCAAAACAGUGAUGAUCCUGCAGUGUUUGUUAAUUCUCUAGGGAAAAUAUCCAUGAAAGAAGAAGUGUUGUACGCAAGCAGUACACAGGCUUACCGUUCGUGGCACUGCUAGACAUAGAAACAGAAUAUGAUGGCUCGUGCUAGCUCCACACAAAGGCGAAGGAGCCCACAUGCAGAACAAAACCAGCAUUCUGGAAGAAAGGUCAAGAAAAACUGGCCUUGUUAUCAACACCGCAAGGACCAAAGUCAUGAAGAUUAACUCAUGUUCAAGGAGGAAGAUCAGAGUGAAUGACGCCGAUAUCGAAGAGGUGGAAUCGUUUACAUACCUUGGGAGCGUAGUAGACACAUGUGGGGGACCUGACGCAGACGUUGCAAACAGGAUGAAUAAAGCAAGAGGAGCCUUCCACUCCCUUAAGAAGAUCUGGAGCUCUGGCAGCAUAUCUACAUCAACUAAGCUGAAAAUCUUCAACUCUAAUGUAAAAGCUGUGUUUUUAUACGGGGCAGAGACCUGGAGGAUGAAAGUCAAAACGGCAAGAAAGUUACAAUCAUAUGUCAGUCAUUGUUUGCGUCGAAUCCUGAAGAUACAUUGGACAGACAAGAUCACAAACGAGGAGCUCUGGGAGUGGACAGGUCAAAUACCGAUGGUCAAGCAAGUGAGGAAGAGAAAAUGGGUACGCUUUGGCUUAGCAAUUGAAAGAACUUCAGUUCUGGUGUUGAAAUCCAAUAUCUUCAAUCAUCAUCAAAAAAAAAAAAUUAAAUAUAUUUAUGUGGCAGAAAGAGCAUGGCUCAUUUUAAUUUCUAAUAGAUACUUAACCUAAGUACCACUCAAGUUGUAUCAGACUGGAUGUCGGCCAAUUUGAAAAGUUCAUAAUCGAUAUCGUGCAAAAUAUAAACUACCCUUUUUCUGCUGAUGAAAGUGUGCGUCAUUUUUGGUUUCCUCAUUUUGUAAGAUUGCAAGUAGGAAUUUCCAGUUAGAUUCUAAUCAUAGCAUAGAGUGACUUAGAUCUUCAGCCGCUCUGAGAUAAAGGUCUAUUAUCUAAAGACAAAAAAAAGGACGAUAACUGUGGGUAUGUGCACCGUCACGCGUCUCUUAUCAAAAGUUAUGUAGCACUGGUUGUCGUCCACAAACUUUUGAUCUCGCCUGGCACAAUUUGGCUCUCCGGCGACCUCACUAUUUAUAGGUUGCGAAUUAAUUGAUUUAUUCUGUGAUUUUAUUCUCGAUACUGAUCUUGACGAAAACUGCAAAUUUUAACAGUUAUUCAAAACUGCUAGUUUUAAUUUUCAUCGGAGAGGCUCUCCCCUUCAACACAUUUUGUCAGCACACCAAAUUCAACUCAAAACUGAAAUAUAUCUAUGGUACCUUUCAGUUGCCUUUUUAAAGUUUUAAUGAAUGCAAACAAUCUAAGGGGUAUACUCAGCUCAUGGCUCCAACUGAAACAGUAGCUGAAAUAGUUUGCAAAGGUAGUCAUUUCAACGUGUCGGGACGGAUUUGGUGCACCAAAUGCAUUAUGGCUGGCUCCCUUUGCUAGACUCCAUUUCCCGUUCCAUAUGCAACAACAGUUGUUGUUGUUCUGUUACAUAACACUGUCCUAUCCUUGUAGUAUGUUUACGUAGCUAAAAUGAUGCCUCUUUGAAGGAAACUUCAAAGUAUUAGCUAUUUACUCCUAUGCAUGUUUUGUAUCUGUGCAUGAUCAAUGUAAACCUUUCUAAUCUAAAGAAUUAAACCUACGGUUUAAUUAUUUUUCUUUUUUUUUUUGGAAGAAAAUCGAAAAUGCUAUUAAAAGAAAUAGAUAAAUAAACAAAUGCUCAUAGGUAGCUAAUAGGAAUGAUUUCACUUUCCGCCACCUGUAGGGUGUACAUAAUAUUGGAAUACUUGGGUGUGUUUUUUUUUUUCCGGUCGCAGAUAUCUGCUACGUGCACUUCUUUGACUUCUACCUCCAAAAGCAAAUCCUAAGCUAACAUCGUGAACUUGCUAAAAAAAUACCUAGCGGAGGGGAGAAAGUUGUACUCUAUUACGUAUCUUCCAACUUUUCUGACUCCCUGUUUUGUGUUUGUCCAUGGUCUAAACCAAUUAGACAAACAAAAAAAACCAUACUUGCUUAGUUUUGGUCAGCUAACGAUUUUUCAAUGUUACAAAUGAAAGCUUAAAACAACAGUCACUGGUGAUUUACCCCCCUUUAUACCAAAUUUGUCAACCGAGAUCCGACGACAAUUUGAAGAAA